rnacentral:tRNA from 1 species
GCCUUCGUGGUGUAGUGGUCAGCACACUCGACACGCAACCCAGAGGUCCGUGGUUCGAAUCCGGGCGAGGGCA